UUGCACGCUGGCGGCAGGCCUCACCCAUGCAAGUCGAGCGGAUGAAGGGAGCUUGCUCCUGGAUUCAGCGGCGGACGGGUGAGUAAUGCCUAGGAAUCUGCCUGGUAGUGGGGGAUAACGUCCGGAAACGGGCGCUAAUACCGCAUACGUCCUGAGGGAGAAAGUGGGGGAUCUUCGGACCUCACGCUAUCAGAUGAGCCUAGGUCGGAUUAGCUAGUUGGUGGGGUAAAGGCCUACCAAGGCGACGAUCCGUAACUGGUCUGAGAGGAUGAUCAGUCACACUGGAUCUGAGACACGGUCCAGACUCCUACGGGAGGCAGCAGUGGGGAAUAUUGGACAAUGGGCGAAAGCCUGAUCCAGCCAUGCCGCGUGUGUGAAGAAGGUCUUCGGAUUGUAAAGCACUUUAAGUUGGGAGGAAGGGCAGUAAGUUAAUACCUUGCUGUUUUGACGUUACCAACAGAAUAAGCACCGGCUAACUUCGUG
rnacentral:rRNA from 1 species